CUCAGUGCCUUUCAGUGUGGCUCAUUAAUUGGCUAGAAGGGAGUGCUAUUUAGCAAAAUGAGAUACAGUCUUUUCCCUUUCCCAUCCCUCAGAAGCUGGAGUACCACUGCUCCCUGCUGGUGCCACUGACCAGGAGACUUUCAAUGGACUGAGGCAAGUGGAAGCCAUUUCAAGCCUUGGCCUUCUGAGUUAUCCAAUGAUGCUGAUGACGAGGCUGCUGCUGGACUGAGAGAAAAGAAAAGCCCUUUGCCAGCAGGAAAACCUAUGCCAUACCACGGCAAGCAUGGAGCCCGCUCAGCUCAUCGCUGCUGUUGUGAGCGUUGUAAACACCUCACGCGUUAGCCUGGGUCUGCACAUACUCCAGGAUAAGAAACACCAGCAUGAGGACGAUUUUGUUGAGGACAUGAACACGGAUGUUCCUGAAAGCAUGGGCUGUGCUAACUGGGACAUCAUGAAGGCAGUGGAGCUGGUUGAUAUAGUGGAACACCGAUUCUGGGCUCGGCAAACAAGCACAGACUGGUGGAACCACAUAGUGUUGCAAGUAUGGGAUGAUUCACAGUGGGUGUGAAACUUUUGCAUAUGUAAGGCCGCUUUCCUUGAACUUUGUGAGUUGCUUUCCCCUGCCCUGAAGCGUAGGAAUACCAAGAUGA